ACAAACAUAAGCGCACGCGUUCUGUACAGUUCCAACAGCUCCGUGGUCUAUUCGAAUACACAAUUAGCUUUCCUAUAAGUUUGAAGCCGAUCGGACCAAACUUUCGCUGAUAGCAAGUUCCAUUUAAAAUGGAAAUCCAUUUAAAGCGGAAUAUUUGCUGAACUUUGAUGUGGAUUUGAUGAAAUCACUGAAACACGUGAAUUGCAGCAAACAUGGACUGUGCACUGCUCAUCAGUCAGUCAGUCAGUCUGUCAAUCAGUCAGCUUUUCGGUCAACAACUUAUUUUCCUCCAGCCUCGAGGCCAUGCGACUUGUCCUGAACGCCUGCUGGCGUAGCCUUUGACGG